GACGAACGCUGGCGGCGUGCUUAACACAUGCAAGUCGAACGAAGUGGCGAACGGGUGAGUAACGCGUAAUCAACCUGCCCUUCAGAGGGGGACAACAGUUGGAAAUGACUGCUAAUACCGCAUACUGAAGGAGGGGAUUGCGUCUGAUUAGCUAGUUGGGGGGGUAACGGCCCACCAAGGCGAUGAUCAGUAGCCGGUCUGAGAGGAUGAACAGCCACAUUGGGACUGAGACACGGCCCAGACUCCACGGGAGGCAGCAGUGGGGAAACUUCCGGAAUGGAGGAAAGUCUGACGGAGCAACGCCGCGGGAGUGGUGACGGGCUUCGGGUUGGAAAGCUCUGUUAAUCGGGACGCGGUACCGGAAUAGAAAGCCACGGCUAACUACGUGCCAGCAGCCGCGGUAAUUC
rnacentral:rRNA from 1 species